rfam:Clostridium sp. CAG:452 genomic scaffold, scf9
CAACACAUAAAAUUUUGACCAGAGACAGUAGGCAAAAGUAAGCCCUACCGAGGUAAAAUAAGAGUAUAUAAAACUCUGUUAAUGCCUCGAGUAGGUAUUUAACAGAGUUUUUAAUUUUUAAAA